UACGAAGGGGGCUAGCGUUGCUCGGAAUCACUGGGCGUAAAGGGUGCGUAGGCGGGUCUUUUAAGUCAGGGGUGAAAUCCUGGAGCUCAACUCCAGAACUGCCUUUGAUACUGAAGAUCUUGAGUUCGGGAGAGGUGAGUGGAACUGCGAGUGUAGAGGUGAAAUUCGUAGAUAUUCGCAAGAACACCAGUGGCGAAGGCGGCUCACUGGCCCGAUACUGACGCUGAGGCACGAAAAGCUGGGGGGAGCAAACAGG
rnacentral:rRNA from 1 species